UGAAAAAUAGUUUUAUUAGAGAACACAA
rnacentral:piRNA from 1 species